UCUGCAACGGCUUUACCAGCAGGCUGUUAUUAUUCAGUGUUACUUCACCGCUGGCAUGGGUGAUGCGCCCCUCUUCCAACGGAAUAUCUAGGUGUAAGCGCCCACUAACCUUACCACCCACCUGUAGCUCUUCCAGCGUUUCAGCGACUGAAUCAUGGAGCGGCGUCGUGGUAAAGUAGUCAUGGACAUCGCGCCCUUCACCAAUCACCUCAGCAUCGACAUAGAGUUUCUCUUUCAGGUAAUCGGGAAUGAUGGCGCUGAUAUUGCUGCCAGUGACAUUACCCAACAUCGCAUGGGGCGCGUCCAUCCAUAGACCCUCAUUGAGGAAAUUCAGAUCGAUAGCUAAAUUCUCUAAUGCAGGCCAAUCCGGUUGGAAUUGGAAGGUAGCGUGACGCAGCGGC
rnacentral:ncRNA from 1 species